CUACUCUGAAGAAGCUCCUGGCCGGUCUCCCUGAUAUUUCUUCUCCCUUGGAAUGUGGGUGGUCCAACAAUGGUUGUCUUUCACUGGAGAUGAUCAGAAUCUGGUAGAUGCUGAACUAGGAGGCUGGAUGUCUUGGCAAUCUCAGUCUGGUGAUGAAGGCCUGGAAGAUUCCUGAAAAUCUGCUGGUCUUCAGUCUACAUUGCAAGCUCAUAGAAGCAGCUUCUGAGAUCAGUGGAAGAAUGUAGCCAUAACAGCAACAGGAGAUAUGGACCUCCCAACAAGAGUGAUGAAAGCUCUUCCUUCCACAUCCUUUU
rnacentral:lncRNA from 1 species